UGGGGUGCACAUCUUUGAUGUGCGCGGUAGAGGAGCGUUCCGUAAGCCGUCGAAGCGGUGUUGAGAAGCACCGUGGAGGUAUCGGAAGUGCGAAUGCUGACAUGAGUAACGACAAUGGGGGUGAAAAGCCUCCACGCCGAAAGCCCAAGGUUUCCUUGCGCAACGUUAAUCGACGCAGGGUGAGUCGGCCCCUAAGGCGAGGCAGAAAUGCGUAGUCGAUGGGAAGCUGGUUAAUAUUCCAGCACCUCGCAUAAGUGCGAUGGGGGGACGGAGAAGGUUAGGUCUACCAGGCGUUGGUUGUCCUGGAGAAAGGCGGUAGGAGUGGAUCUUAGGCAAAUCCGGGAUCCUUUAACUCCGAGCACCGAGACGAGCUCAUUAGAGCGAAGUGACUGAUACCACGCUUCCAGGAAAAGCCCCUAAGCUUCAGCUUAUGCAGACCGUACCGUAAACCGACACAGGUGGGUAGGAAGAGAAUUCUAAGGCGCUUGAGAGAACUCGGGUGAAGGAACUAGGCAACAUAGCACCGUAACUUCGGGAGAAGGUGCGCCCUUGAUCGUGGCCCAUGCGGGCUACAGCGAUCGGGGGCCGCAGUGACCAGGCCGCUGCGACUGUUUAUCAAAAACACAGGACUCUGCAAACACGAAAGUGGACGUAUAGGGUCUGACGCCUGCCCGGUGCCGGAAGGUUAAUUGAUGGGGUCAGCCGCAAGGCGAAGCUCUUGAUCGAAGCCCCGGUAAACGGCGGCCGUAACUAUAACGGUCCUAAGGUAGCGAAAUUCCUUGUCGGGUAAGUUCCGACCUGCACGAAUGGCGUAACGAUGGCGGCGCUGUCUCCACCCGAGACUCAGUGAAAUUGAAAUCGCUGUGAAGAUGCAGCGUUCCCGUGGCAAGACGGAAAGACCCCGUGAACCUUUACUAUAGCUUUACAUUGAACGUUGAGUUCGUCUGUGUAGGAUAGGUGGGAGGCUUUGAAACCAUGGCGCCAGCUGUGGUGGAGCCAACCUUGAAAUACCACCCUGUCGUGCUUGACGUUCUAACCUAGGUCCGUUAUCCGGAUCGGGGACCAUGUAUGGUGGGUAGUUUGACUGGGGCGGUCUCCUCCCAAAGAGUAACGGAGGAGCUCGAAGGUACGCUCAGCGCGGUCGGACAUCGCGCACUGUGUGCAAAGGCAUAAGCGUGCUUGACUGCGAGAUCGACGGAUCAAGCAGGUAGGAAACUAGGACUUAGUGAUCCGGUGGUUCUGUAUGGAAGGGCCAUCGCUCAACGGAUAAAAGGUACUCCGGGGAUAACAGGCUGAUACCGCCCAAGAGUUCAUAUCGACGGCGGUGUUUGGCACCUCGAUGUCGGCUCAUCACAUCCUGGGGCUGUAGUCGGUCCCAAGGGUAUGGCUGUUCGCCAUUUAAAGUGGUACGCGAGCUGGGUUCAGAACGUCGUGAGACAGUUCGGUCCCUAUCUGCCAUGGGCGUUGGAGAUUUGAGAGGGGCUGCUCCUAGUACGAGAGGACCGGAGUGGACGAACCUCUGGUGUUCCGGUUGUCACGCCAGUGGCACUGCCGGGUAGCUAUGUUCGGAAGCGAUAACCGCUGAAAGCAUCUAAGCGGGAAGCGCGCCUCAAGAUGAGAUCUCCCGGGAGCUUGACUCCCCUGAAGGAACCAUCAAGACCAGGUGGUUGAUAGGCUGGGUGUGUAAGUACAGCAAUGUAUUGAGCUAACCAGUACUAAUGAUCCGUGCGGCUUGACCAUAUAACCUCA
rnacentral:rRNA from 1 species